UACGAAGGGGGCUAGCGUUGCUCGGAAUCACUGGGCGUAAAGCGCACGUAGGCGGAUUGCUAAGUCAGGGGUGAAAUCCUGGAGCUCAACUCCAGAACUGCCUUUGAUACUGGCGACCUUGAGUCCGGGAGAGGUGAGUGGAACUGCGAGUGUAGAGGUGAAAUUCGUAGAUAUUCGGAAGAACACCAGUGGCGAAGGCGGCUCACUGGACCGGUAUUGACGCUGAGGUGCGAAAGCGUGGGGAGCGAACAGG
rnacentral:rRNA from 1 species